rnacentral:rRNA from 1 species
AAGUCGAGGGGUAGAUAGGUGCUUGCACUUAUUGAGACCGGCGAACGGGUGCGUAACACGUAUGCAACCUACCUUCAACUGGAAAAUAGCCCGAAGAAAUUCGGAUUAAUACUCCAUAAUAUUACAUAAAGGCAUCUUUAAGUAAUUAAAGCUCCGGCGGUUGAAGAUGGGCAUGCGGUCCAUUAGUUUGUUGGUGAGGUAACGGCUCACCAAGACUACGAUGGAUAGGGGGUCUGAGAGGAUGAUCCCCCACACUGGUACUGAGACACGGACCAGACUCC